rnacentral:rRNA from 1 species
UGGAGCAUGUGGUUAAUUCGAAGCAACGCGAAGAACCUUACCAGGUCUUGACAUCCCGAUGCUAUUCUAGAGAUAGAAAGUUACUCGGUACAUCGGUGACAGGUGGUGCAUGGUUGUCGUCAGCUCGUGUCGUGAGAUGUUGGGUUAAGUCCCGCAACGAGCGCAACCCCUACGUUUAGUUGCUAACGCGUGAAGGCGAGCACUCUAGACGAACUGCCGUUGACAAAACGGAGGAAGGUGGGAUGACGUCAAAUCAUCAUGCCCCUUAUGUUCUGGGCUACACACGUGCUACAAUGGCCGGUACAGACGGACGCAAAGCCGCGAGGUGGAGCAAAUCCUAAAAAGCCGGUCUCAGUUCGGAUUGCAGGCUGCAAUUCGCCUGCAUGAAGUCGGAAUCGCUAGUAAUCGCAGGUCAGCAUACUGCGGUGAAUACGUUCCCGGGCCUU